GAUGAACGCUAGCUACAGGCUUAACACAUGCAAGUCGAGGGGCAGCAUGAACUUAGCUUGCUAAGUUUGAUGGCGACCGGCGCACGGGUGAGUAACACGUAUCCAACCUGCCGAUGACUCGGGGAUAGCCUUUCGAAAGAAAGAUUAAUACCCGAUGGCAUAGUUCUUCCGCAUGGUAGAACUAUUAAAGAAUUUCGGUCAUCGAUGGGGAUGCGUUCCAUUAGGUUGUUGGCGGGGUAACGGCCCACCAAGCCUUCGAUGGAUAGGGGUUCUGAGAGGAAGGUCCCCCAGAUUGGAACUGAGACACGGUCCAAACUCCUACGGGAGGCAGCAGUGAGGAAUAUUGGUCAAUGGACGAGAGUCUGAACCAGCCAAGUAGCGUGAAGGAGGACUGCCCUAUGGGUUGUAAACUUCUUUUAUACGGGAAUAAAGUGAGGCACGUGUGCCUUUUUGUAUGUACCGUAUGAAUAAGGAUCGGCUAACUCCGUG
rnacentral:rRNA from 1 species